GGCAGCCGCCGCGGUAAUACCGGCGGCUCGAGUGGUGGCCACUUUAUUGGGCUUAAAGCGUUCGUAGCUGGGUCGUUAAGUCUCUUGGGAAAUCCGGCAGCUUAACUGUCGGGCGUCUAAGAGAUACUGGCGAUCUGGAACCGGGAGAGGUGAGGGGUACUUCGGGGGGUAGGAGUGAAAUCCUGUAAUCCUCGAGGGACCACCUGUGGCGAAGGCGCCUCACCAGAACGGCUUCGACAGUGAGGGACGAAAGCUGGGGGAGCAAACCGGAUUAGAUACCCGGGUAGUCCCAGCCGUAAACGAUGUGCGUUAGGUGUAUCGACGACCACGAGUCGUCGAGGUGCCGAAGGGAAACCGUGAAACGUACCGCCUGGGAAGUACGGUCGCAAGGCUGAAACUUAAAGGAAUUGGCGGGGGAGCACCACAACAGGUGGAGCCUGCGGUCUUAAAUUGGACUCAACGCCGGGAAGCUCACCGGAUAAGACAGCUGAAUGAUUGCCGGGCUGAAGACUCUGCAUGACUAGCUGAGAAGAGGUGCAUGG
rnacentral:rRNA from 1 species